UGGCGCCCGGCGGGGCCGCGCCGAGCGGUACUGAGGCGACAAAAUGGCGGCGGGCGGAGAGCGCGGGAAGGGCCCGCGGCGCCCUGAGGGCCGCUCGUUCCCUUCCCGUCCCCCUCACCGUCCCAUUUUGAAGUGUUUUUUUCCCCUCACAGCGUGAAGAUUUUGGGGUCAACGCUGCUCUUUCCUCCCCCUCCACACGCGCCCUCCCAGGUGGGUAUUUCGAUAGCUUGAUGCCUAAUUUCUCCCCCUCCACUUCUCUCCUCCGCAGGGGUUGCAAUCGCUGUCCUCACCGCGUGGAAAAUGCCCAAUUAAAAAAACAAAAACAAAAAAAAAAAAAAAAAAAAAAGCAAAACAACGCUAAAAAAGCCCCAAACAGCCGAGGACUGAGGGAAGGAACUGCCUCCUCACGGCCACCGUUCUGAGAUUUAGGGCCGUGCAGGUGCUCUUUAUUCCCACAUGUCUCUAUAUAUCUCCUUAUCCCAGAGAUGGAUUGCAGAACAAAGCCACUCACCUACAACGCUAUGAUCCAAUUACACACAAUUACUCUCACUUUGGCCCGUACGUAUCUUGGAUUUUAUAUAUUUAUUACCUUUGUUUUCCUCCAUUGGCUUUCUACUGUCCUAAGAGCAAGAGGGAAAAAAAAUUACACGCACACACCCAAAAGAAAAAAAAAAAAGACGAAAAAUAAUAGUUAAAAAAGGUAAAAACAAGCAAAAUGCGACCAGCCGCCCAUUUGAUCAGUCCGUGGUGAAGAUUGGUGCCUGAAUGCUUUAUUUGUUCCACAGAGGUGUAGAUUUCCCUUGGGAUGUUGGGGAAAGAUUUCUUAAUUAAAGGAUAAAAAAAUAAAAAGUAAAAAAUAAAGCAGUGAAACAGAACCAAAAAGGAAAGCAAUAUUAAUUAUUUAAAAAAAAGAAAAAAAAAAAAAGAAGAAGGCAGCUGACUCUGCCAGUGCAGUCGGGCAGGCACUGAAUUCAUUGCACCGAAAUGAGGACGGAUGAGCUGAACUGAGUGGCAGGGCUUAGUGCAGCUCCGGGAGGAGGGCUCAGCUCCUUGUCCCACUAUCCAGCGCCGCACACACCACCAUUUGUGUGCUUUUGUGCUUUAUUUCCAGCCCCGCGGGCUGCCCUACGUGAUGCACGGAGCGACGUGCGUGCCCCGCUGCUGUGCAUUCCUCUCCCUUUUAUUGCCUGCUCUAUGGCUCAGCUCGCUUUUUUUUUUCUCCCCCCUCUGCGGGCAGCAGGGUUGCUCUGCUUUCCUCUCCCCAGCUCGGCUGCUGAUUCCAGAAGUUUCUACAGCAAAGGAAAUGCACGGGGGAGGGGAGCACCUACUGCGGAGCUUUGCCGCAGCCGGGCAGGCGUGGAGGAGGAGGAGGAUGCGGAGGAUGCACCACCUCCCUCUCUCUCUUUCUCUUCCCCCCUCCCUCUCUCUUUGGUUCAGGACGCUUUCCAAGCCUCUCCCCCUCGCUACAUUUCCCCAUCCUUGCAGAGGGUGCUGGGAGGUGUUUGCAAGUUGUUUUUUUUCCUUCCCCCCCCCCCCCACGCACACACACACUCCGUUUCCUCCCCCUUUGCUAAAUAAAUUAAAAGCAGAGAUGUCUCCUGAUGGAGAUGGAUGAGGCUGGGCUCACUUGCAUGCACUGUGCCCCAGCUCCGAUCUGCUGCUUAGGGCAGAAGUGACCUUUCCCAGGCAGUGGGAGGGAGCUUCCCCCCACCCUGCUAUGCUGCUGCUUGGAAUUCAUCUUACAUAGCAGCCUCAUUUUUUUUUUUUUAUCCCCCCCUCCAAAGAACAGCUUGCUGCUACAGUGAUUGUUUUUUAUUAUUUUUAUUUAAUUAUUAUUUUCAGCCCAUGUUGCAGCUUCCUUAUGAUCGUUUUGUGUGUGUGUGUGUGUGUGUAUGCUUUGAACUGCAUUUUAAAUUUGCCCAGCUGGAGACAAGUCUCGAUUAGAGCUGGAACAAUAGCUCCAUUUUAUUAAUAAUGGGAAGGAUUUACGAUUCUACAGCACCUUCCUUGGAAGGCUUUCAAAACCAUUUGCAAACUCUCACAAAUGUAAGCUUUCACAGCCCUGCCUGUGAGGUGGGUAAGUAUUUCCACGGUGCCACCAAAAAUCAGGGAGAGCUGCAGUCGGUGUGUGCUCCAAUAACGGCAGAUCCGGUCACCAUGACUUCAAUGUGCACAGUCCAAGCAGUCACUUGUGAGCAAGGAGAGCAGGUAUUGGCACCUCCUCAUUAGCCUUCAUCAAUGAGAAUAUUGGCUAUGGUGUUGCGUGAGUGCCACUGGCUGACCAAUGGAGGGGCCCUACCCUGCUAAGCUGGAGCAACACUUUCUGAGUGGUGAUUUCAUUGCCUGGUUGCUGCAGUGAUUUGGAGCACAGCUGUGACGUUAUGCUUUUUCUGGCAAAAAUUUAGCUGAGGGGUAAGUAUGAGAUGUCCAGGCCAGAUUUCAUAGUGUGAUGGAGAGCUGGGAGAAGCUGGUGCGUGGUGUAUGUGAAAACUGCCAAUUGCUUGUGUUCCUAAAAAGGCUCAUCUGUGUUUGAAUUAAACCAGCCUGGAUAGGACGUUCAUUUUAUCCUCUUGUUAGGGAUGUAUUUGGAGAUAUGCCUGGUGCUGAUUGGUGGCCUCUGCUGGCCUGCAGGUACAGGGGACCAACAAACUGUUUGGGAUGCCUUCAUGUUUUUCAGGCCACUGUACCCUGUGGGAAUUGUACUACUUUUCUGUGGCAGUUUGGGAUAACUGAGGGCUUCCUUGGGAGUGUUGGACUUCUACCGCCACACGCUUUGGAUUGAAGAGUUACCAGAACGACAUCUGUGAGGUUUCCAAGCUAAACAAAACCUGAAUUUCUGGUGCAAAAAGCAAGUGAGUGAUAGAAACCUCUGCUCCUCUUCCAGCGGGGGGACACUGCAGCCUUUUAAGCUUUCCUAUUAUGCCAAAGAGGUAAAAAAGCAUAAGCAUGCAUUGUGUUAUGCAGUGCUAUUGGUGAUAUAAAAUGAAAGCCAAAGCUAGCCAAGAAACUGUUCUCCUUUCAAAUACAUCUCCACGCACAAGUACUUUUCUUCUUUGCCUUUCCCUGAAGUGAGAGAGCAAUAAGGGCACAAGCGUGCGCUCAGUCUGCUUCAUUUAGAACACAGUGAAGUGACUUCGGUGCCAACAUGAUGAAUCAAAAGCAUUGAAGAUAGCUGGCUUGCUAUUUAUUUUGCUCUGGGCAUGACAAUCAGAUGUGAUUGGGGAUGUGAAGAAGAGCAGCCUUCAACUCACAGAGUUGCACUGUUUUAAACCCUUGUCCUGUGACUUCUCCAGCGUGAUUUCUGUCAUUCCUGCUGGGCAUUGCACGUGGGCCUUUUCAUGGAGAGGUAACGCCCUGCAGCUGUGUGUUAAACAUGGCAACAUACAGGAUACAGUGAUCUCUCCACUCCCAGGAGCCUGGAAGACUGAAGCCCUCUGCCUAGAGGAUGAAAUGCUUCAUGUUUGGAAAAAAAACUAGCAGGCUUUGUCUGUGACAGCUCCUUUCCUGUGGAUGUCCUUCCAGCCAGGCUGCCCGCAGUGUGACAGCAGUGACCCUGUGUGAGGUUUCUUUGAAGGACCUGGGAGACUGCGUGGCUUUUUCUUGUCCCUCGGAGGUGCUUCCCUGGCAGGGAGGGAGGAAAAUGAUUGGCAGUGCUGUCACAGGAGGCAUGCUUACCUGGCUAGGGGAAAGCUUGGUGUGGAAAAGCCAGCUGGUGCAUGGUUUGGGGAAGGAGAGGUUCCUUUCUCUCCAGAAUGGAAUCCCUUAAGGAAGGUAUAGACAAGCAGUUCCUGCUCUUGGGGCUUCUGGCUGGUUAAAACAAAGAGCUGAGCCCAUUUCCAUGGAGAAAUGUAUAAUAGAGCACGUUGCAGUGCUUUUCCUUGCGUGUGCGUGGCUUGGUCACACGUUUAACUAAUAGAUGGUUUGCAUGCAAGAGGUUAUUGCUUUUUUAUACUUUCAAUCAGUCCAUCUCCAUUGGGCAGAGCAGCUUCACAGCCACCAGCACGGGGGAAACUGAGGCACGGGGCUACAGUGGGAUUACAGGCAGAGCCGGGGAUAAGGCUCAGGUUUGCCGAGGCUCAGACCGACGUGCGUCAGAGGGCUGAUUAAAUGGAGAGAUUUGCAAAGGGAAGUGACCUAUAGCUCCAUGGCCGGGACGGUGUGCUGGACUCGAUCCUUGUGGGCACCUUCCAACUCAAAGGGCAGUUUGGUCAGGGGUAGGGCUGGGUAAGCACGGCGAGCGCGGCCGACAGGGAGCGAGAUGUGGUGAGCUCCUUCCAUUGCCUUAGCCUGGAGCACAGCCAACCCGCGGGGCUCAUCCAGCACUGAACUUUGGAGUCGUUGCAGAUAAACAGCGCUAUAGGCUAAUAAAAGGCUCUGCCACGCAGGGCCCGGUCUGCCCGCACCGCAAUGACUUUGUUACGUGCUGACUGCAGUGAGGGACGGCGCUGGGUUUGCCUUCUCCUGGCCUUGGAUGGAGAGGAGCGGGCAGAACCUCGAGGCCUUUUGCCCCGCACCCAUUUCUGCACGGCAGCCCUUUACAUUUCACAGCGUGCUCCAUUUUUUUUCCUACUCCUAUUCCUUUUGUAGCACAGCCCCCCUUUUUUGCAACAGUCCCCCUUUCUUCCUUCGUACCGUAUGUUUUAUUUGCUUAUUUCUUUAUGUGCAAUCCCUUAAUCCAUCACCUUGCAUUGCAGCCCCGCUUUUCGGCAUGCAUCCCUUGCUUUCCACAACCCACCUCGUGCAUUUAUUACUUUCCAUCGCAGCUCCCGUUUCUGGCUCGCACCUCCUCUUUUUUUUUUUUUUUUUUUUUUUGGCCGUGCUUCCUUUAUCUAUGACUUCCCAUCCCAGCCCUGUUUGUAUCUGCCAUACAGUCCCUCCGUCACGUCGCGUUACACCGCGCUCUGCCCGCUCCGCUCCCGCAGCCCUCCACCGCUGCGCUCCCCGCGCAUGCGCACUCCCCCUCCC
ensembl:lncRNA